GUUGUUUACAAGCCACCCAAUCUAUGGUAUUUUUGUUAAAGCAGCCCUGAGGGACUAAGACACAAAGGUUUGAAGAAUCGGGGCCCCUUGGCAAGACUGUAAAGUGACAAAGGCUCAGGCAACUGCUGCUUUUUCUGCCCCUCUCCUCUCCAUACCCUCCUCAUUGGAAACACUGACAUUAGACCUUGUCCCGUUGAGAAGUGUGGGAGCAGGAGGGUGUGAAUUUCUUGUGACCAGUUCACUUAUUAUUCCUGCCCCAGGGUGUGUAAGGAGGGGCUGGUGGUGACAGGGAGAGAGCUGAUAGGACUAGGGAGAUAGAAAUCAAAUCAUCGCAGUGAGUCACCGUGAUGUUCCCUAACCCACCCACGUGGGGCUCUGUGCACCUCAGAGAGGAACAAAUAAAUACGGAGGCACAUACGUUAUUAAGUGUAAUUACAUUGCUACUUAUAGGUUCAAUUAAAUACUCUGGACAUUUUUACAAUGCAAUUUGAGGUGUGAUGCGUGCAGCAAUAGCAUUAACCUUUAAUCAUAGUUCUUUCCCCUAGAAAUGUGGUGAUGACUCUAUUAAUUAGUAAUGAAGUGAUUAAAUAGGAAUAGAAGCCAUCAGAUCACGAUUCCUCUUCACUGGGUCCUCUCCCUAGAUUUAAACGUGGCCUUUUGACCUUCCUCUCCAAAGAAAACACAUCUCAGGAGGUAGGUGUGUGUAUGAGGGGGAGAUGUUGAAUUUUCUGAAGCCUCUUCUCUCCCAGAGGCACAGGGUAGAAAAAUGGGUAGGAUGAGCACUGUAUAAUCAGGAUAUGCAGUGUUCAGUCUUGGGGUGUUAUUGCUCCUUUUGUUAUUGCUAAUUGUCCCUUCUGGGUACUGGAUUUAGGGACUUAGAAUGACAUGAGUUAUGCAGUUCUGCACUAUGGUCUUGAAAUUGCUCAGUCCUGAACAUUCCUGUACUCAUAGCCUGUUCCCACCUCCCAAUACCAUCCAGGAAUCUCAGUGGGCUUUAGAGAAUCCAUUUGCCAUCCACUUCCUGGGAUGUCUGAGGCCCACACACUGUGCUUCCAGACCAUCCAACGAUCCAUCCACUCACCCUGUGGUUCAAUCCAGGCUUACCGUGUGAUCCCGCUGCAUGUCAGGAAUCAUGGGAAACACUGAGGGGAUGAAGGCAAAGAUCGCUGCUCUUAUGGAACCCUGUCAAAUUCGGUCACAAAUUGUGUUGCCGUAAUUGCAAUCCUACAAUAAUUGUUGUAGGAUUGAUAAUGACUACAAUAGAGAGAAGAACACGGUCUAGGGGAAACUCAAGGAGGGGUACCUGACUCAGCCCGUGGUGUCAUGGAGGAGACGACACCCUUCUCCUGGAGAAGGCAACACCCAAGCUGAGUCUUUUAGGAUAAACGAAACUAACAAAUGUGGAAACAGGCAGGGGCAGGUAUCCCAAGCAUAGGAGAUACCAUGAGUCAGGGUGCGGAAGCGAAACAGCCCCUGUUGCCCC
rnacentral:lncRNA from 1 species